UACGAAGGGUGCAAGCGUUACUCGGAAUUACUGGGCGUAAAGCGUGCGUAGGUGGUCUGUUAAGUCUGAUGUGAAAGCCCUGGGCUCAACCUGGGAAUGGCAUUGGGAUACUGGCAGGCUAGAGUGCGGUAGAGGAUGGCGGAAUUCCCGGUGUAGCAGUGAAAUGCGUAGAGAUCGGGAGGAACAUCUGUGGCGAAGGCGGCCAUCUGGACCAGCACUGACACUGAGGCACGAAAGCGUGGGGAGCAAAC
rnacentral:rRNA from 1 species